rfam:Helianthus annuus linkage group 8, whole genome shotgun sequence.
GUUCUUGCUGAUGGAGCAUCAUCAAGAUUCACAAAAGACUCUACUUUUAGGGUUUCAUAAGCUUUUCUUGUUCUUUUACUUAAUAAAGAAAGAAAAAGAAAGUGGUUUAUGGGCCCCUUGAUGGUUUGAGAAUCUUGAUGAUGCUGCAGCGGCAAUUGC